GGAAAAUAUGAAUCUUGCAAUUUCAAACUCCAGGGUUUGUGUUUAUUUUUCCUUUUAAAAAUUUUCUGAGACAUGCAUAAUAUGACAUUGCUUUAUAAUAAAUAUUUAAACAUAGGAAUAUUCCAUAUUAUCAGUGUCACUUAUUUUAGUGGUAGAGUGAAACUCAAAGAAAUAUGUUUUCUGGAAUGUAACAGCAUAAAUGAUAACCUGUUUCCAUCUAAAUUUUGGAAUCUCUCUUUUGCACUGGCUACCUUAAAAAUAUGAAGAAAAACUUUUAUUACAGAUGAUAAUUCACUUAACAUGAUAAUGUAAUGGUCUAAUUAUAAUCAGAAAUUUAACUCUGAAAUAUUUUCAUUUAUAGGGAAUAAUUAAAACUGCUGUGCUCCUAAUGUUAUAGGGAACAUAAUAUAAAUAAAACUACAUAGAGGGUCAGAGGAACCUAAGUUCAAUUCUGGUGCUACUACUUACCUCAGUUUCCUCAUUUUCCUCAUUCCUAGAAGAACUCUGAGGUUCUUUCCACCUUUAAAACUAUGAUUCCUACUUAUUUUGAAGGCCACAGUUUUCCUGUUUUCUAUCUUCUAGAAGUUUUGAAAGCCUUUAAGUUAAGGCAAAAGCAUUUCUAACCUAUUCUUCCUUAAAGAAAUAACCAGCACAUGUAGUAACAAACAUUAUAUGAAAAUUCUAAGUGAAUCUCUCCCCCCUAUUUUGACAAUAUACAACGAUGUAAAUAUUUCAGUGUGACCACUUCUCAAUAGAUUUUGAAUUCCAAUUCCCUCAAACAAGAAUUAAAUAUCUAAAAUAAUAUUAAACAUAAAAAUGGAUCAUACAAGUUGAAAAUACAGCAGUUUUAUUUGAUUUCAGUAAGCUUUAGUUGCAAAGACUACUUAAUUUUUAGCCCUUAAAAACAUAUUAGUCAUCAACACCUUAUUUUCAAGUAAUAUUGUUGAGACUAAAUAAAAUAUUUAAUGUUUUCAGUCAUGAACCCUAGCAAACACUAUUCCUUGAAAGCUAGAGUACAUCAACAGUACAAAUAGGUUUCUUUUUCUUUAAGGAAGAAUAACUCACCAAAGCAGUUAAGGCAAAGUCACACCAAAAAUACAAGGACACUAGGCAAAUUUUAAAUUCCAUAACAUUUAGGUGAUGUUACAUAAAAAAUAUAUAUUCCCUUAUUAUUUUUUAUCACAUUUUUUAAAUGCAGAGUUAUUGAUAUCUAAACGAUCCUAAGAUCGUAUGGAAGAAAGCAAUUUUUUUCAAUUUAGUAUAACUACUGGGGAAAAUGACAGAAAUGUGCUUGUUUAAAUUGAUACAUUACUCUUCUAACAUAAUCUGAAUUGAGAUUUUGAAGUAAAAUCAUCAGUGCAAAAAUGUGUUUAUAAGUUCUACAGAAAUAAGGACCAUUAUAUAUGCUUAGAGGAAUGGACUGACUAAGUCAAUUAAAGUGCAUGGUAAAGGAUUUGCUUGUCUUUUAAAAUGGUUUAUUACAAGUCAGCUUGCUGUGGAAUGUCAAAUUCUGAAAAAAACCAGAUAUAAUGUACUGAUAAAGCUUAUCAACAGACUUUUUUUUUUAAAAGCCACCGAUGUUAAAUAUUUUUUUCCUCAAAAAGUCAUGUGAUGCAUAGUAAAACUUGUUAUGCUUGUAAAUAUUUGCAUAUUUAGGUUAGGAGAGCAUAUUAAAAGGUAGCUGAUGUGACUCUUUAGUCACUAAUCACAAGUCAAGAAGAAACUUGUGUAUUAAAAAUAGGAUCCCAUAUAUCUCAUAAGUAAAAUACCUUUGCACUGCAUUGUUAGUAAGAUAACAAAUUUAUGUAAGAAACUAAUUCAUAUAUACAUUGAAAUUCACAUUCCACUUUCACAUCAAAUGUUUUUUAAAGCUCUGUUUUAAAGAAGUUAAGUGGUUACAGUAUAUUCCAAAAUUAUCUUAAAAAGAUUAGUAAGCAUGGUUUGCUAUAGCAGCA
ensembl:lncRNA